CUUAACAGCCUCUGGCACCGCCCUUUCACCGCGAAUCAGGUCUUUGAACGGACUUCGGUCAAAGUUUGCUGAAGUUCCUUGCGAGCCAUAUAACUGUCCCAGACGUUUAGCUGUAUAGAUAAAGUCUCCUUUUGUUCAAUAUAACUGACAUUAAAUAAUGAAGAGACGGGACGUUAAACAGAAUGAGCCAUCCUCCCACAAUAGCGGGGUACAGCGGACUUCCAAAUCCAAGAAGAAGGAGGGGACACGGUCACCACAAGCGACUGCCCAGUAAAACAAAGGUUGCAUUGCGUCAUCCUGCAAAGAAUGGCAGCCCGACUAUAAACAGGAAAAAAGAGAGGUCCCAAGGGUGGCUAAAAAGGGGCUUAUUGGCCCUCUUUGUUAUCUUGGUUGUGGUGCCUUUCUCGGUGAAAAUGCUUCCAGAAUUAAUUCAGCACUUUGUUUACACACACAGAAUCAGCCUGCCAUUCUUUGUUGACCUCAGCCGACCUGCUGAUUUCUCCCUUAAUCACACCAUCAACAUGUACUUAACAUCAGAGGAAGGAAUUUCCCUCGGCGUAUGGCACACUGUCCCUGAAAGUCGGUGGAAGGAGGCACAGGGGAAAGACUUGGCGUGGUACCAAAACACUUUAAGCGAUGGAAGUCCAGUUUUCAUAUAUCUUCAUGGAAACACAGGCACGAGGGCAGCUCCUCAUCGGGUGGGAGUUGCAAAAAUAUUGAGUGCUCUUGGUUACCAUGUCCUAGUGCCUGACUACAGAGGUUUUGGAGAUUCCACCGGAGAGCCAACUGAAGCCGGUCUGACCACUGAUUUCCUCUGCGUGUACAACUGGGUCAAAGAACGCAGCAGAAACAGCCUUGUCGUUAUCUGGGGACAUUCUCUUGGCACUGGAGUGGUGACUAACACUGCAGACAAACUUCUGGAGCAGGGAGUGGUGUUUGAUGGGGUGAUCCUUGAAGGCGCAUUCAAUACUGUUCGGCAAAAUAUUCCUCCAUUUAACCCUUUUGCUUGGCGUUACUGGAAAUUUCCAGGCCUUGGUUACUUAUACCGAGCACCAUGGGAAGAUAAUAAGUUUGUCUUUCCUACUGAAGAAAAUUUGAAGAAAAUGAGAAGCCCCAUACUUUUCCUUCAUUCUGAGGAUGAUCACUUGGUUCCCAUUGAGGUUGCUCAGCAGGUAUCAGUGGCACAGACAGCUGCUUGUCAUUUAAAGGAAAAUGAGUCAGUGUUUUCAUUAGAGCUACAUACGAGGUGGCAGCGCAUGCCCAGAAUACAGAGAGAGUCAAGCUGGUGACAUUUGAAGGGUCUCUGGGAUAUCUGCACAACGGCUUAUACAGAGACCCCCGUCUGCCUGAAAUCGUAAAGAGGUUUGUGCAGUCUUUGUAAUGCUGGAAAGAUGUCUGAAGCAGAAAGGCCUCGUCAUACUUCACAUGGAGACCACUGAUUUAAUGAGUUGCUUUACUUAUUUUGCAAAAAAAAGUGAUUUACUGAAACAUCUUAAUGAAUUCUGAACACUGUAAAUUGAAUGAGUUUAAAGUUUUUAAUGAACUGAAAGAAUUUUUGAAGCUUUUAUAAGAUUGUGUUUCUAAAUGAGUUGCAGCUUUAGGAUUGUUAACUGCUGAUUUUUGUGAUUGUAAAUAGGAAAUGGAAAUGUGAGACAUUACCACACAAGUGAUAACUUGUGUUAUCUUCUGUUAUCACAAGUGUUGUUAAAGAAAAAAAAAAGGAAAUAAAGACAGAAAUCUUGAGUUA